rnacentral:rRNA from 1 species
AGUGAACGCUGGCGGUAGGCCUAACACAUGCAAGUCGAACGGCAGCACAGUAAGAGCUUGCUCUUACGGGUGGCGAGUGGCGGACGGGUGAGGAAUACAUCGGAAUCUACUUUUUCGUGGGGGAUAACGUAGGGAAACUUACGCUAAUACCGCAUACGACCUACGGAGGAAAGCAUGGGAUUUUUGGACCUUGCGCGAUUGAAUGAGCCGAUGUCGGAUUAGCUAGUUGGCGGGGUAAAGGCCCACCAAGGCGACGAUCCGUAGCUGGUCUGAGAGGAUGAUCAGCCACACUGGAACUGAGACACGGUCCAGACUCCUACGGGAGGCAGCAGUGGGGAAUAUUGGACAAUGGGCGCAAGCCUGAUCCAGCCAUACCGCGUGGGUGAAGAAGGCCUUCGGGUUGUAAAGCCCUUUUGUUGGGAAAGAAAAGCAGCAGGUUAAUACCCCGCUGUUCUGACGGUACCCAAAGAAUAAGCACCGGCUAACUUCGUG